AGUUACGGGUGGUACAAAUGCGGCACAUAGAUUUUCUGCCAACCAGGGCAGUGUUGAACCCUCACCACCAAAUCAAAAUAGCAUUCAGAAACUAUAGACGAUGAUGGCGAGUAUUAAUGAAGACUUAAUCUUGGGUAUUCCAUUAAGCCAUGAUCCAUAGUAGAUAUGUGUACUUUCUAAGGUCUUUGUACAUGAAUUUUUGAAGGGGGUGAGUGGCUAGACAAUUCCGUAUUACAAUUGUGGUGCUCGCACAUCCAUGAGUUUUGUGCUUAAAGGAAGCUUCUAAACAAGUAUUGUAUCUUGGAUGUUGCGAAGAUUGCUCUUACUCACGAUUCUCCAUGACACGAAAUAAAAAAUUACUUGCAAUACAGGUUGAUGGAGAAAAGAAACACCAAAGAUUGUUAUUUGGCCUCGUUUUACCAUGAACGACGUUGACAACUACUAGUCAUAAGCCCAAAGAAAAAUACUAUAGUUGUGUUAUACUCGUUGCACUCUGGACUGCCCGAAGUUGUGAUUAACGCUUUGAAUGAGUAAGUGGUAGUAUUUUCAAUACUCAUAUUUAACUUUAGACUUAAAUAGUUUUUAUUCAUGUUUAGUUAUAACCGACAUGUGUAGAGCGAUGGAGGAAUUUAAUGCACACAAAAGGAAUCUUAUUGAUCAAAAGGCUAUAUUACACCAAAAGUAAGUAUAUUACUUGUUGUUUUUUAAAUUAUAUUAUUUGUGUGUAUGAGUGUGACAUAAAUAAAUCAAAAUUAUUUGUAGUGGCGAAAACAAUUCGAUAGUUAUUCUUGUGGAUACUAUGUUAUGAGAUUUAUGCUCCAUAUUGUCUCCGGAUGCAUUACA